rnacentral:tRNA from 1 species
CGCUCCUAUCCAGCUAGCGGUCCAGGCGACCGGCCUUUCAAGCCGGGGACACGGGUUCAAAUCCCGUUGGGAGCGCCAA